AUGGUGUCCCCAUCACAACUCCUUGGGCUUCUGCUGUUCUGGGUUUCAGCCUCCAGAGGUGACAUUGUGUUGACCCAGUCUCCAGCUGUCCUGCCUGUGACUCCAGGAGAGAGAGCCACCAUCUCCUGCAGAGCCAGCCAGGGCAUUAGCACAAGCUUACACUGGUACCAGCAAAAACCAAACCAGGCUCCAAAGCUCCUCAUCAAGUAUGCUUCUAACUCCAUCCCUGGAGUCCCCUCGAGGUUCAGUGGCAGUGGAUCAGGGACAGAUUUCACCCUCACCAUCAGCAGUGUGGAGGCUGAAGAUGCUGCUACUUAUCACUGUCAACAAGGUUAUGACUGGCCUCUCACAGUGAUGUAA